rnacentral:rRNA from 1 species
UACGGAGGAUGCAAGCGUUAUCGGGAAUGAUUGGGGGUAAAGCGUCCGCAGGUGGCUAUGUAAGUCUGCUGUUAAAGAGUCUAGCUCAACUAGAUAAGAGCAGUGGAAACUACAAGGCUAGAGUACGUUCGGGGCAGAGGGAAUUCCUGGUGUAGCGGUGAAAUGCGUAGAGAUCAGGAAGAACACCAGUGGCGAAGGCGCUCUGCUAGGCCGUAACUGACACUGAGGGACGAAAGCUAGGGGAGCGAAUGGG